CUGUACCACUAGGGGAGCUUUAUUGGUAACAUCUUUACCUGAAAAGCUGAGAUUGGAGUGAGACUCCGAGACCCUUGGAACCUGAUCUGGCUCGUACCAGCGUAGGGAAGUGGCGUUCGCGGACA
rnacentral:ncRNA from 2 species